rnacentral:lncRNA from 1 species
UUAUGGUGAGUGAAUUGGUUAUAAUGGUGGAGAUGCAAGUGGGUGUUGCUCAAAUGGUGGUGAAGCAUGUGGAUCUGCAUUCUUAUUGUGACACAAUGGAAGCUCUCCAGCGAGUGCAUGGUGCGUCAUCUACUCGCGAUCUUCGCCAAGUGCUGACGUGAGAGCUACCAGUGUCUGUUAUAGUUUCUAUCUAUAUCGUUGUUGGUGGUUGGAGGUGUUGCGAGUUGUGGCCGUGAGAAGAGAUCCAAUGAGGUGUUGCGGGUUGUGUCAUGGUUCUAUUUUUGGAGAUGAAGAUGAAGAUCCUAGGUGUUGUGACUAUGAGAAAUUAGAGAUAACGAGGGAUACAUCACAUUUUUUAAGAGAAUAGAGAUGAAUAAAAAAUGUUGGACGCAAGAUUUGAGUGAAAAAUUUGUCACUUUUUUUAUCGACAAAUUUUUUAUCGAUAAAUGAAAUAUACAUUAUUAACC